rnacentral:lncRNA from 1 species
AAGUGCUAGAUUAAAUGUCAGAAAACUCACUGUAAUGAAAAAUUAUAUUUGUGCCGAAUAAGCCUUCAUGGAGACAGGUUUUAAAUACAUGUCACAGAACCUAUACUAGGCAGAAGUCUUGUGAAUGUACUGACUAUGGUAACUCUUCUAGGAAAGCACCACAGCAGCGUGGAAUCCAGUGGGGCAGGGAGCGGCGGGGCGGCGGGGGCUUUCCCCAACAAAUUGAAUAUGACCAGAGUAAUCAUGCUUGAGGUACUGUUAAUGCGCCAGCUGGGAAAGGCCUUGGAAUCAGUUGCUAGCAUAUAUCAGAAUUCAUAAAUGAAAGAAAAUCUGUGUUUUCGAAGUGAGAAAUCUCAGAAUCAGAUGAUAUUGCAUGUUACAGAUUUUAUAUAACCCAGGAACUAUAUAAAUGUAUUUGUAGAGGAAACUGAAGAGGACAAUGAAGAAUGGAUUGAGGAAAGGGCAUCUCAUUUCUCUUAAGUAAUAAUUCAUAGGGAAGUCCUACUACCUUGAAGUAUUAGGGUAGGGAGGCAAACUUGUAAAGUACCGGGUGGUAAAUAUUUUAAGCUUUGUAGGCCAGGAGGCCAAAAUCAAUGUUAUAGAGAAAACAAAUGUCCACAAAAUUGUCAUUGACAAAAAUUUUUGUCGUUGCAUCUCAAAUCAUUUCCAAUUGAACUUUGUGGAAAUUUCACAAUUAAAUGGGUUUUUAGAUAUAGAAAUUUCCCUUGCAAUUUAAUCAAGGCCUGAAAAGUGCUGCUGGAAUUACAGUGUGUUUGGAAAGUACAUGCAACUUUUAACUUCUGAUAGUACAGAACGAACUCCUUGAUAUUACUUUUGAUUUAAGCAACACUCAUUUGAAUGACUUUACUGCAGCAUGUAAGACUUUACUGCAGCAUGUAAGAGCUGUUUUGCCAUCAAAGAAAAACCAAGCAUUUUAUGUGAACAUAACAUUCAGAUGGAAUUUAAAAGGGAAAAAAAACAUUAAUUUAUAUACACACGCACUUUUUUUUUCUUGCUUUUUAGGGCUGCCUUCGUGAAGUUUCCAGGCUAGGGGUCUAAUCAGAGCUACACCUGCUGGCCUAUGUCACAGCCACAGCAAUGCAGGAUCCAAGCCACAUCUGCGACUUACACCACAGCUCAUGGCAACGCCAGAUCCUAAACCCACUGAGCGAGACCAGGGAUAAAACCCAUAUCUUCACUGAUAUUAGUCAGAUUUGUUUCUGCUGUGCCAAAAAGGGAACUUCCUUUUUUUUUUUUUUAACCGUAGUUCCAACAUAUGUUCAGCCUUCUUAAACCACCUUUAUCUUAGAAAGUCGGGUUCCUAUAUAGUUAGAUUAUAAAUGUCUACAGCAACAAGAAGGGAUUUCCACUUAUAGUAAUGCCAGGUAAGGUCAUUUGGACCAACUCUUCAAUGUAGAUACUUAGGGGGAAAAUGGACAAAAUUUCUUCAAAAAAAUCAGUUUGAAGGCCAUCAAAAAACUAAAGCUAGUGAAGCACUGCAGCCAGGAGUCUGGAAAGAAAAGACGACUAUGUAGAUAAACCUGUGUUUGGAAUCAUUUUCACUUUGAGUUUUUUGAGAAUUCUUGACAAAGUAGCCAGGCAGCUAAGCAAUAGUUCUGAUGGCCUACUAUAGGUAGAGGUGGACAGAAAUUAAGAAUUCAAGACCUCAAAGUAUUUUACAGUCUUGUAAAUUUGAUAUCCAUCACAAAAUAACAGGGUAUUUAUGGAAAUAAGGCAACAUGAAUUAAAAGUAACAGCAACAACACAAAAUUUAAAAUAUGCUUACUGAGCCCAAGGACAUAAAAGCCAAGAUGGAGAAUUUCAACGUGUAACUGGAAAAAAGCAGAAAAGUAUAAUAUAUAGUAGAAAAAA